rnacentral:tRNA from 1 species
GCCCAGAUGGCGAAAUUGGUAGACGCGCUCGUUUCAGGUGCGAGUGCCGCGAGGCUUGCAGGUUCGAGUCCUGUUCUGGGCA